UACGGAGGGAGCAAGCGUUACUCGGAAUUAUUGGGCGUAAAGGGCGCGUAGGCGAUCUGAAAAGUUCUGUGUGAAAGCCCACAUGUUAACUGUGGAAGUGCACAGAAAACUGUUGGAUUUGAGUUCAGGAGAGGAAGGCAGAAUUCCCGGUGUAGCGGUGAAAUGCGUAGAGAUCGGGAGGAACACCUGCGGCGAAGGCGGGUUGCUGGGCUGACACUGACGCUGAUGCGCGAAAGCUAGGGGAGCGAACGGG
rnacentral:rRNA from 1 species